CCUACGGGAGGCAGCAGUGAGGAAUAUUGGUCAAUGGCCGGAAGGCUGAACCAGCCAUGCCGCGUGAAGGUCAGUGCCCUAUGGGCGUUAAACUUCUUUUGUCUGGGAGCAAUAAUGUUCACGUGUUGCCAUACGACAUUACCGUACGAAUCAGCAUCGGCUAACUCCGUGCCAGCAGCCGCGGUAAUACUGGGGAGUCAAGCGUUAUCCGGAUUUAUUGGGUUUAAAGGGUGCGUAGGCUGGGAGGUAAGUCCUCGUGGAAAUGCCCCCGCUCAACGGGGGGAAGUGCCAUUGAUACUGCCUGGCUGGAAUGCGGAUGCCGUGGGAGGAAUGUGUGGUGUAGCGGUGAAAUGAAUAGAUAUCACACAGAACACCGAUUGCGAAGGCAUCUCACGAAUCCGCGAUUGACGCUGAUGCACGAAAGCGUGGGUAUCAAACAGGAUUAGAUACCCUUGUAGUC
rnacentral:rRNA from 1 species